rnacentral:rRNA from 1 species
GUUUAACACUUCAAGCCAUCCAUCGAUAAAACUGCCCCGCUGUUCAGAAAAAACAAACAACGCACGCCUCCACGUCCUCUGGCACGACCUCGACCUCUCGCCCCUGCUCCUCCUCCCCCGCCGUUCGCCCUCUGCCCGUUCCUCGCCGCACCUCCCGAGCCUCCCGCCGCUCCUCCAUUCCUCCGGAGCCGCCUGCCACGCCCUUCGCCGCGGGAUCCCCUUCGUCGCGAGAGCCGCCGUCGAGCCCGUCCAUCGCGCCCGAGCCGCCCCGGAGCCGCCCUUCGCCGUGGCCCGCAGGUCGCCGAGCCGCCCUUCGACGCGGCCCGCAGGUUCCCCAGCCGCCGCCCUGGAGCCACCCUUCGCCGCAAGUCGCCGCCGCCGGAGCCGCCCUUCGCCACAUGUCUCCUCCCUUCUAGCCGCCCUGCCCUCACCGCUCUUGUCUUCAAGCCCAAGGUCCUUUCUUCAACCCACCGAUUCGUUUUCUGCAUUAUGAAUUGUUCCCGUCUAACAUCUACGCGAUCCAAUUACAAUAGAAGCAUAAAUCCCUAUAUAUAUGCAUAUGAAAUUUCAGAGUCCCCAAAGCUGAUUAGAGAGAGAGAGAGAGAUUAACACUUAUAGAGAUUGAUCGACUUAGGACAUACCCCCAUCUCUCCCAUGCCCUCUUUCUCUCACUUGUUUUUUCCUCUCUUAACUGCAUCAUUGAAGGAGGCUAGGACCGAGUGCAGGCCUGCGACCAGGAUCAACAGCAGGAGACAACGUUACAUUGUGGCUGUUAUUAAUACAACUUUGACCAAAGGGUUUAUUGUUUUUUGGCAGAUGGGCACUUGUUCACCUUUGUUGUAGCGUGGAGACUUGUUCCAGAUAUUUAAAUGUCUUUUUACGUAUCCUUUGUUUGUUCUCAAUUUGGAUGCUUUCAUGCAGAUCAAGUUAUUAUUGAGGACAAAUGAAGGGGUGCAUUGCAAUCUAGAUUUGACUAAAUGUGUGGCACAAUCUGUUGACAAACACAUUUACGUUUAAGUAUGUGUAGUAUGCUUCAGGUAAUUAACCACAACAUUUGUUUCGUCAAUUAUUUCCUUUUCAUUCAGUGAAUGUCCUUUUGUUAAAAAGCGUGAGUUGAAUGUGUAAGUACGGAAAAGGUUCUCCCAUUGGGUUGCCACUACAACGAAAUAAACAUGUAAAUGACUGUUAAACAUACUCUAUUUUUGUAAUUCAAAGGCAAUGUUUCUGCCGGUCUCUUGAAAGAAAUAAAAGAAAUGCAGCCUUUAUAACUGAAUCUCUACAUUCAUUUUUGGAGAUCAGAGAGCUAUAUAUUAACUAGUUAUUAUGUUGCACACUGCAUUCAAUUUAGUGAGCUUGUUAUUUUUCUGAUCGGAUUCAGUGGUAAUGGAAUUGGGUGGUGAAGAAAACUAGCAAGCUGCAUAGGAGAAAUUCAUAUGUGCACCCGCAUGAAUAAUAAUUUUCCAAAUGUCAAAUAGUUCUAGAAAAAAUAUACAUAUAAAUAUCUGAAUCAUCUGUGUCUUUGUAAAAUUAGUGGAAAAAUGAUUUGGAAGGAUGAGGUUGCUUUAGUCUUGACCACGAAGUGCUCUCUGGUAGCGCUGUCGCGGCCAGUCGGCCACUCGCUCUCCAAAUCCUGCAGCUGUGCAUGGGUCCGAUGGACAGGCAUGGCGGCUCAAACCUGCGGGCUCCACGAUCACCACGGCGCUGCCUCAUGGCCUUGCCGCUGGCACUCACCGAACCCUCACCGGAUUGUCGACCCCACAACUAACCAUCACCCUCAUCUCAUUAGUUGGCUUCCCCCUACUGGAUCUGAAUUUUUUUGGUUGGUUUGCAAAGUGCAGAUGUGUGACCUCCUCUAUGAUGAAGGCAUCGAGGAGAUGAACUUUUGCUUCUCAAGCUUUGAUUUAGUUGAGAUGUUUAAGCAAUAUUGGUCACUUCCAAGUAAAUUUUAUGAUGAUGUGAUAUAUGUCUACUAAUUUCCAUUUUUUCCCCUUUGUGUUCAGGUAUCUAUACUAAAGGUUGCAGUACAACACUAGUUGGUUACAAUUUUGUAGAUUUCCUUUUACCCUUAGUUUGUGCUCCCUCCGAUCCAAAUAUAAGUGCCGCAGCUUUGAACUAAGGUGUUCAACCUUAGUUCAAAACUGCGACACUUAUUAUGGAUCGGAGGAAGUAGUAAAUGCCCAUUAGUAUAGUCCCUUAAGGCCUAAAAAGUAGCAUAGGAUAUGGGAGCAAAAGGUUCAAUGAAAACUUUUAAAACCUGAGGUGCAAGUAUAUUUUGUAGGCUUGUGGAUUGUGGUGCAUGUUCACAUGUACGAGCUAGAACUUCCUUUGUGUUGGCGGAAGUGUUAGCCUGCCAUUAUCAGUUGAGUAUAGGGCCUGACCAGCGUUUUGGUCUUUCAUUUACUUUUUACCAACUCAAGUAAAAUGUUUGAAAUCUUAUAUCGACCACAUCACUAGAAUUUGGUUGGACUAUGGUUGCAUGUUUAAGUCGAAAGAGGGAUCGACCUUCAACGUUACCUCGUCAGGUUGUUUAGUUCCAACGAGGUCUAAAUCCAUUCCCCCAUCUUGUGCCGAUUGCCUUCUUAGUACUAAUGUUUCCCCUUAGUGACAUUGUCUAUUUGGUGUCCUUUUUUGUAUAAAAUUACUUUAUGAUGUUCAUCCUGCUAAGCUGCAGGGGUAAUAGUGCUUCCAGUAUUUGUAAUUUUGAAAGUGCUUCCAGUAACCAUCUCCGCUCUACAAUAAUAGUGCUUCCAGUCAUGGAUCAGAUGGCUUAGUAUGUGACAGAGGCUCUUUGCUCCAAUCAAUCAGUGGGAGAUCAAAUAGCUUAAGCUUGCUGUACACAAUGCAAUGUAACUAGAAUGGUCUUUAUCUUUUAAUCAGUUUCCCGGUUAUAUUUCUUCUAGAAUUUAGUUUGUUUACUUUGUGAUUUAUUGGCAUUUUGUUAGAUGAUACAUGCUUCUAACUACAAUACAGAUCAGGUCCAAAAUCAGGAUACAUGACAGCUGCAAAGCAAAUAUAUCAAAGUUGCUCGGGUGGAUCUAUUGUGGUUCAAGCUCCUCAGGUGGAUCUAAUCAAGACAACUUAUUGACCGUCUUCCAUUUCAACUGCAGCAAUAUGGGGUGGCGCAUGUGGAGUAGGAGGGUAGAAGAGAAGAUGGAGAAGGUGGUUAUUCUGGCCUUACGUUGAGUGUUGAAUCUGGGAUAUAUGAAAAUACUUGAGUUGAAGAAGAUCCGGUACUGGAUAUAAAUGAUUGAGGAGACGCAUGACUUAAAUAAAAAGAGUUGUGAGAAUAUGAAAUAAGAAAAUUACUGUUUCUGAUUGAGUCUUAAUCUAAAGACGACAUUUCUAUGACGCUUGCAUUCAC